GCGUGAGGGAAGACGGCCUUCGGGUUGUAAACCUCUUUCAGUGGGGAAGAAGCGAAAGUGACGGUACCCACAGAAGAAGCCCCGGCCAACUACGUGCCAGCAGCCGCGGUAAUACGUAGGGGGCGAGCGUUGUCCGGAAUCAUUGGGCGUAAAGCGCGUGUAGGCGGCCCGUUAAGUCGGAUGUGAAAGCCCGGGGCUCAACUCCGGAAAUGCAUCCGAUACUGGCGGGCUUGAGGCAGGUAGAGGAGAGUGGAAUUCCCGGUGUAGCGGUGGAAUGCGCAGAUAUCGGGAGGAACACCAGUUGCGAAGGCGGCUCUCUGGGCCUGUCCUGACGCUGAGACGCGAAAGCAUGGGGAGCGAACAGGAUUAGAUACCCUGGUAGUCCAUGCCGUAAACGAUGGGUGCUAGAUGUGGGGAUCAGUUCACGAUCUCCGUGUCGUAGCUAACGCGUUAAGCACCCCGCCUGGGGACUACGGCCGCAAGGCUAAAACUCAAAGGAAUUGACGG
rnacentral:rRNA from 1 species